GUCCUUACUUCUGCAGCACAUAUACUAAAAUUGGAAUAAUACAGAGAAAGAAGAACAACAUGGCCCCUGGGCAAAGAUGACACCCAAAUUCAGGAAGUGUUCCAUACAAGU